rnacentral:rRNA from 1 species
AAUAGAUACCCUGGUAGUCCACGCCGUAAACGAUGAGUGCUAAGUGUUAGGGGGUUUCCGCCCCUUAGUGCUGCAGCUAACGCAUUAAGCACUCCGCCUGGGGAGUACGGUCGCAAGACUGAAACUCAAAGGAAUUGACGGGGGCCCGCACAAGCGGUGGAGCAUGUGGUUUAAUUCGAAGCAACGCGAAGAACCUUACCAGGUCUUGACAUCCCAUUGACCACUAUGGAGACAUAGUUUUCCCUUCGGGGACAACGGUGACAGGUGGUGCAUGGUUGUCGUCAGCUCGUGUCGUGAGAUGUUGGGUUAAGUCCCGCAACGAGCGCAACCCUUGUUCUUAGUUGCCAUCAUUUAGUUGGGCACUCUAAGGAGACUGCCGGUGACAAACCGGAGGAAGGUGGGGAUGACGUCAAAUCAUCAUGCCCCUUAUGACCUGGGCUACACACGUGCUACAAUGGACGGUACAAACGGUUGCCAACCCGCGAGAGGGAGCUAAUCCGAUAAAACCGUUCUCAGUUCGGAUUGUAGGCUGCAACUCGCCUAC